rnacentral:rRNA from 1 species
UACAGAGGGUGCGAGCGUUAAUCGGAAUUACUGGGCGUAAAGCGUGUGCAGGUGGCUGUACAAGUCGGUUGUGAAAUCCCUGGGCUCAACCCGGGAACUGCUUCCGAGACUGUACGGCUGGAGAUCGGUAGAGGGCGGUGGAAUUUCCGGUGUAGCGGUGAAAUGCGUAGAUAUCGGAAGGAACACCAAUGGCGAAGGCAGAUCUCUGGGCCGUAACUGACGCUGAGGAGCGAAAGCAUGGGGAGCGAACAGG